rnacentral:pre_miRNA from 1 species
GACAGUGGCUGCAGCUUAGCCCCCAGGCUUCACUUGGCAUGGACAACUUGCUACAUAAAGUGAGGGGUGGGCCACAGCUGGCUUC